CCUACGGGCGGCAGCAGUAGGGAAUUUUCCGCAAUGGGCGAAAGCCUGACGGAGCAAUACCGCGUGAGGGAUGACUGCCUAUGGGUUGUAAACCUCUUUUUUCAGGGAGGAAUAAAUGACGUGUACCUGAAGAAUAAGCAUCGGCUAACUCCGUGCCAGCAGCCGCGGUAAGACGGAGGAUGCAAGUGUUAUCCGGAAUCACUGGGCGUAAAGCGUCUGUAGGUGGCUCGACAAGUCAACUGUUAAAUCUUGAAGCUCAACUUCAAAAUCGCAGUCGAAACUAUCGGACUAGAGUAUAGUAGAGGUAAAGGGAAUUUCCAGUGGAGCGGUGAAAUGCGUAGAGAUUGGAAAGAACACCGAUGGCGAAGGCACUUUACUGGGCUAUUACUGACACUCAGAGACGAAAGCUAGGGUAGCAAAUGGGAUUAGAUACCCCAGUAGUC
rnacentral:rRNA from 1 species